GCCACUAUAGCUCAGUGGUUAGAGCACUGGUCUUGUAAACCAGGUGUCGUGAGUUCAAUCCUCACUGGUGGCU